rnacentral:ribozyme from 1 species
CUAUGGACUUAAUUAAAUUGAGCCUUGGUAUGGAAACCUACUAAGUGGUAGUUUCUAAAUUCAGAGAAACCCUGAAAUGAUAAAUGGGCAAUCCUGAGCCAAAUCCUGUUUAAAGAAAACAAGGGUCAACAUCUUUUUGACUUUUUACAUCUGAUCCAAAAUACUCUGG